rnacentral:rRNA from 1 species
AUUGAACGCUGGCGGCAGGCCUAACACAUGCAAGUCGAGCGAGCGGCGUCCGGGUGAGUAAUGUAUGGGGACUGCCCGAUAGAGCGGGAUAACUACUGGAAACGGUAGCUAAUACCCCAUACAAUCCGAAGAUUCAUAUGGGGUUAGCUUGUAGGUGAGGUAAUGGCUCACCUAGGCGACGAUCCCUAGCUGGUCUGAGAGGAUGAUCAGCCACACUGGGACUGAGACACGGCCCAGGCUCCUACGGAGGCAGCAGUGGGGAAUAUUGCACAAGGGGCGCAAGCCUGAUGCAGCCAUGCCGCGUGUAUGAAGAAGGCCCUAGGGUUGUAAAGUACUUUCAGUCGGGAGGCGUUACCGACAGAAGAAGCACCGGCUAACUCCGUGCCAGCAGCCGCGGUAAUAC